rnacentral:tRNA from 1 species
GCCGAGGUGGCGGAACUGGUAGACGCGCAUGACUCAAAAUCAUGUGUCUUCGUGGCGUGUGGGUUCGAGUCCCACCCUCGGCA